GUCAUUUUCCCUGAUUGAUUAGUGUCCUAUUUACGUUGCCUGUUUUUCGUCCUUAGUUGUUGUACCGUUAAUACAACUUAAGUCACAUUUGUGGUUGGUUCUGUUAUGACUGUUAUUGCCUUUUGUUUAUGCACUGUGGCUUGAUUUUUAUUUUUUUUAGAGUGCUUUUUCUUGAGGUUUAUUUUUUAACUUUACUAAGUUCCUGAUAGUCCUGGUACCCAUGUGUUUUUACCUGUUCCCCGAGCCUGUUCCUGUAUCUGUCUGCAAAGAAGCCAAGAAGAAAUAAAUGCUUCUGUGCUCCGCUGGGGAUGUCGCUCCCUAACCCUCACCCUAACCCUAACCGUCUUCCUGCAUAGGAGCUGUAUAAAGUCCAUCUUCAAAUGCAAAUUAGAAAAAGUGACAUGGAGAUGGACCUUCUACAACUUCAAAUGGAGGGAAAAAAGGAGAUAAAUAAACAAUGAACCACACUUGACUGUUCACUUUGUGCAUUAGUCUUUUAAUUAUAAGUGAUUUUGGCAGAUCACAUCAACACCCUGCAAUCUCUCUAGUCCACUGUGUUCACUUGGGGAUUGUCUUGAUCAUGUUCAUAAAGAGGGCCUUGAAAUAUGCUGGUGUUGUGUAGGUGAUCACUGGUGUGUGUGUGUGUGUGUGUGUGUGUGUGUGUGUGUAGGUGACACUGGUGUGUGUGUGUGUGUAGGUGAUCACUGGUGUGUGUAGGUGAUCACUGGUGUGUGUAGGUGAUCACUGGUGUGUGUGUGUGUGUGUGUAGGUGAUCACUGGUGUGUGUGUGUGUGUGUGUGUGUGUAGGUGAUCACUGGUGUGUGUAGGUGAUCACUUGUGUGUGUGUGUGUGUCUAGGUGAUCACUGGUGUGUAGGUGAUCAGUGGUGUGUGUGUAGGUGAUCACUGGUGUGUAGGUGAUCAGUGGUGUGUGUGUAGGUGAUCACUGGUGUGUGUGAGUCUAGAUGAUCACUGGUGUGUGUGUGUAGGUGAUCAUUGGUGUGUGUAGGUGAUCACUGGUGUGUGUAGGUGAUCACUGGUGUGUGUGUGUGUGUGUCUAGGUGAUCACUGGUGUGUAGGUGAUCAGUGGUGUGUGUGUAGGUGAUCACUGGUGUGUGUGAGUCUAGGUGAUCACUGGUGUGUAGGUGAUCACUGGUGUGUAGGUGAUCACUGGUGUGUGUGUGUGUCUAGGUGAUCAGUGGUGUGUGUGCGUCUAGGUGAUCACUGGUGUGUGUAGGUGAUCACUGGUGUGUGUAGGUGAUCACUGGUGUGUGUAGGUGAUCACUGUUGUGUGUGUGUGUGUGUGUAGGUGAUCACUGGUGUGUAGGUGAUCACUGGUGUGUGUGU
ensembl:lncRNA